rnacentral:rRNA from 1 species
UACGUAGGGGGCAAGCGUUGUCCGGAAUCAUUGGGCGUAAAGCGCGCGUAGGCGGCCAGACAAGUCCGGUGUGAAAGUCACAGGCUCAACCUGUGAAUGCCGCUGGAAACUGUCUGGCUAGAGUCCGGAAGGGGCGAGUGGAAUUCCUGGUGUAGCGGUGAAAUGCGCAGAUAUCAGGAGGAACACCUAUGGCGAAGGCAGCUCGCUGGGACGGUACUGACACUGAGACGCGAAAGCGUGGGGAGCAAACAGG